AACGAACGCUGGCGGCAUGCCUAACACAUGCAAGUCGAACGAGACCUUCGGGUCUAGUGGCGCACGGGUGCGUAACGCGUGGGAACCUGCCCUUAGGUUCGGAAUAACUCCCCGAAAGGGGUGCUAAUACCGGAUAAUGUCUUCGGACCAAAGAUUUGUCGCCUUUGGAUGGGCCCGCGUUGGAUUAGCUAGUUGGUAGGGUAAAAGCCUACCAAGGCGACGAUCCAUAGCUGGUCUGAGAGGAUGAUCAGCCACACUGGGACUGAGACACGGCCCAGACUCCUACGGGAGGCAGCAGUGGGGAAUAUUGGACAGUGGGCGAAAGCCUGAUCCAGCAAUGCCGCGUGAGUGAUGAAGGCCUUAGGGUUGUAAAGCUCUUUUACCCGGGAUGAUAAUGACAGUACCGGGAGAAUAAGCUCCGGCUAACUCCGUG
rnacentral:rRNA from 1 species